ACGGUGUCUAUGCGAAGAGAUCCCCGAAGAUGUUCACAGUAUACUGAGAUCAUUCGGGACUAUGUGAUCCUAGAGGACGGUUUACGGUGUCUAUGCGAAGAGAUCCCUGAAGACGUUCACAGUAUACUGAGAUCAUUCGGGACUAUGUGAUCCUAGAGGACGGUUUACGGUGUCUAUGUGAAGAGAUCCCCGAAGACAUUCACAGUAUACUGAGAACAUUUGGGACAAUGUGAUCCUAGAGGAUGGU